UUGCGCAAUGGGCGAAAGCCUGACGCAGCCACGCCGCGUGCCGGAUGAAGGCCCUAUGGGUUGUAAACGGCUUUUAAGCAGGAAGAACGACCGGAUUUCGAUCUGGUGUGACGGUACUGCUUGAAUAAGCACCGGCUAACUCCGUGCCAGCAGCCGCGGUAAUACGGAGGGUGCAAGCGUUGUCCGGAAUCAUUGGGUGUAAAGGGUGCGUAGGCGGGCGUCUAAGUCUGGGGUGAAAUCUUGCCGCUUAACGGUAAAAUGGCCUUGGAUACUGGGCGUCUUGAGUGUAGAAGAGGUAAGUGGAAUUCGUAGUGUAGCGGUGAAAUGCAUAGAUAUUACGAAGAACAUCAGUGGCGAAGGCGGCUUACUGGUCUACAACUGACGCUGAGGCACGAAAGCGUGGGGAGCGAACAGGAUUAGAUACCCUGGUAGUCCACGCUGUAAACGAUGCAUACUAGGUGUUGGCCUUUCGGGGCCAGUGCUGCAGUUAACGCAUUAAGUAUGCCACCUGGGGAGUACGUCGGCAACGAUGAAACUCAAAGGAAUUGACGGGGGCCCGCACAAGCGGUGGAGCAUGUGGCUUAAUUCGAUGCAACGCGAG
rnacentral:rRNA from 1 species